ACUUACGGCCACACCGCUGGUUCACGCCCGAUCUCGUUUGAUCUCGGAAGAUAAGAUAGGUUGGGCGUGGUUAGUACUUUGAUGGGAGACCGCCUGGGAAUACCAGGUGCUGUAAGCU
rnacentral:rRNA from 1 species